rnacentral:rRNA from 1 species
UGGCGAGUGGCGACGGGUGAGUAUACAUCGGAACGCGUCCUGUAGUGGGGGAUAGCCCGGCGAAAGCCGGAUUAAUACCGCAUACGCUCUACGGAGGAAAGGGGGGGAUCUUAGGACCUCUCGCUACAGGGGCGGCCGAUGGCAGAUUAGCUAGUUGGCGGGGUAAAGGCCUACCAAGGCGACGAUCUGUAGCUGGUCUGAGAGGACGACCAGCCACACUGGGACUGGGACACGGCCCAGACUCCUACGGGAGGCAGCAGUGGGGAAUUUUGGACAAUGGGCGCAAGCCUGAUCCAGCAAUGCCGCGUAUGUGAAGAAGGCCUUCGGGUUGUAAAGCACUUUUGUCCGGAAAGAAAUCCUUUGGGCUAAUACCCUGAGGGGAUGACGGUACCGGAAGAAUAAGCACCGGCUAACUACGUGCCAGCAGCCGCGGUAAUACGUAGGGUGCAAGCGUUAAUCGGAAUUACUGGGCGUAAAGCGUGCGCAGGCGGUUCGCUAAGACAGAUGUGAAAUCCCCGGGCUUAACCUGGGAACUGCAUUUGUGACUGGCGGGCUAGAGUAUGGCAGAGGGGGGUAGAAUUCCACGUGUAGCAGUGAAAUGCGUAGAGAUGUGGAGGAAUACCGAUGGCGAAGGCAGCCCCUGGGCCAAUACUGACGCUCAUGCACGAAAGCGUGGGGAGCAAACAGGAUUAGAUACCUGGUAGUCCACGCCCUAAACGAUGUCAACUAGUUGUCGGGUCUUCAUUGACUUGGUAACGUAGCUAACGCGUGAAGUUGACCGCCUGGGGAGUACGGUCGCAAGAUUAAAACUCAAAGGAAUUGACGGGGACCCGCACAAGCGGUGGAUGAUGUGGAUUAAUUCGAUGCAACGCGAAAAACCUUACCUACCCUUGACAUGGUCAGGACCCUGCUGAAAGGUGGGGGUGCCCGAAAGGGAACUGAUACACAGGUGCUGCAUGGGUGUCGUCAGCUCGUGUCGUGAGAUGUUGGGUUAAGUCCCGCAACGAGCGCAACCCUUGUCCCUAGUUGCUACGCAAGAGCACUCUAGGGAGACUGCCGGUGACAAACCGGAGGAAGGUGGGGAUGACGUCAAGUCCUCAUGGCCCUUAUGGGUAGGGCUUCACACGUCAUACAAUGGUCGGAACAGAGGGUCGCCAACCCGCGAGGGGGAGCCAAUCCCAGAAAACCGAUCGUAGUCCGGAUCGCACUCUGCAACUCGAGUGCGUGAAGCUGGAAUCGCUAGUAAUCGCGGAUCAGCAUGCCGCGGUGAAUACGUUCCCGGGUCUUGUACACACCGCCCGUCACACCAUGGGAGUGGGUUUUACCAGAAGUGGCUAGUCUAACCGCAAGGAGGACGGU